UGGGUUGGCCCAACUAGGGAGCAGUAGUGGCAGGGGCCAGGGAUACUGCUAAAUGCCACAGUGCACAUGACAUCCCCCACCACCGAGAAUGUUCCCACCCAGGUUGAGCAACCCUGGCCUAGAGGCUGGCCCUUGAGGAAACCAGAAGUUGAGUCUGACUGGAGCGAGGAUGCAAGAAGAGCUCAGUAAGGGGGAGGCUUCAAAGAGGCUUGGGCAGCCGCAGCCUCGUCCAGGGCACUCAGGGAUGGUGGGGAGAGGAUUUAGGCUGGGGAGGACCUUGCUCAGACUGGGGUUCAGAAAAGCACCUCUGGCUGGACCCUAGGAGUGCCGGGGUGGGAUGUGGGAGGGACAGGUUGUACUGCUUCAGGUUCUAACUGGAUGCCUCUGCCUGCUCGUGGAGAAUGAUCACCGGGGCAAGAGCAGAAGCAGGGGAACCGGGGAGGAGACAGCUGCAGUGGUCCAGGUUUCCAGGACGUGAAAUUGCACCUUCUCUGCUCUACUCCUGAGACACAAGAGACAUGGAAAACUGAUGACAUCAUGCAUGCACCUGGAUCCAGCUAUGUCUGAAGCAAGAUCACCCUUGAAUUGUUUUUUACGUGACCCAAUAAAUUCUCUUUUGCUUAAA